GGUAGUGUGGCCGAGUGGUCUAAGGCGCUGGAUUUAGACUCCAGUCUUGGUGGGCUGUGGGUUCGACUCCCACCGCUGCCA